rnacentral:rRNA from 1 species
UCAUUAGUUGCUUACGCAAGGGCACUCUAAUGAGACUGACCGGUGACAAACCGGGAGGAAGGUGGGGAUGACGUCAAGUCCUCAUGGCCCUUAUGGGUAGGGCUUCACACGUCAUACAAUGGUCGGUACAGAGGGUUGCCAAGCCGCGAGGCGGAGCCAAUCCCAACAAAGCCGAUCGUAGUCCGGAUUGUUCUCUGCAACUCGAGAGCAUGAAGUCGGAAUCGCUAGUAAUCGCAGGUCAGCAUACUGCGGUGAAUACCGGUUCCCGGGUCUU